UUUCUUCUUCCUUCUGCUCUGUUUAGUAGGGUUUGGUACAGAAACGCGGUGCAAUAGGGCACCGGUUCCGACGUAAACGGUCACAAGACUGAAUAAGAACAGAAAAAAGUUAUCCAAAUAUUUCCGGUAGCUAGUAGCUGGAUUAAACACAAUGGUUAAAAUGCUGACAGCUUACGUUAGGUGUGACUGUAUUUCCCUGUAGAGGAUUCCAACACCGGGAUCUAACAGUCUGCAGGC